GAUGAACGCUGGCGGCGUGCCUAAUACAUGCAAGUCGAGCGAACAGACGAGGAGUUUGCUCCUCUGACGUUAGCGGCGGACGGGUGAGUAACACGUGGAUAACCUACCUAUAAGACUGGGAUAACUUCGGGAAACCGGAGCUAAUACCGGAUAAUAUAUUGAACCGCAUGGUUCAAUAGUGAAAGUCGGUUUUGCUGUCACUUAUAGAUGGAUCCGCGCCGCAUUAGCUAGUUGGUAAGGUAACGGCUUACCAAGGCAACGAUGGGUAGCCGACCUGAGAGGGUGGUCGGCCACACUGGAACUGAGACACGGUCCAGACUCCUACGGUAGGCAGCAGUAGAGAAUCUUCCGCAAUGGGCGAGAGCCUGACGGAGCAACGCCGCGUGAGUGAUGAAGGUCUUCGGAUCGUAAAACUCUGUUAUUAGGGAAGAACAAAUGUGUAAGUAACUAUGCACGUCUUGACGGUACCUAAUCAGAAAGCCACGGCUAACUACGUG
rnacentral:rRNA from 1 species